CUACGGGCUGCUGCAGUGAGGAAUUUUGCGCAAUGGGGGAAACCCUGACGCAGCAACGCCGCGUGAGUGAAGAAGGCUUUCGGGUCGUAAAGCUCUGUCAGAUAGGAAAAAAGUUCAUAUGUAGAUAGCUUAUGAAUCUGAUGGUACUAUCAGAGGAAGCACCGGCUAAGUCCGUGCCAGCAGCCGCGGUAAUACGGAGGGUGCAAGCGUUGUUCGGAAUUACUGGGCGUAAAGGGCGUGUAGGCGGUAUGGUAAGUCAGAUGUGAAAGCCCUGGGCUUAACUCAGGAAGUGCAUUUGAUACUGCCAUCCUUGAGUAUGGGAGAGGAGAGUAGAAUUCCCAGUGUAGAGGUGAAAUUCGUAGACAUUGGGAGGAAUACCCGUGGCGAAGGCGACUCUCUGGACCAAUACUGACGCUGAGACGCGAAAGCGUGGGGAGCAAACAGGAUUAGAUACCCCUGUAGUC
rnacentral:rRNA from 1 species